GCUUAGUUACUAAACAUAAACAUACACGUUCUUAUAAGUCAAUAUCUGAACACUCAAAUGGAUACCUGGGCUUCCAGCUACACUUUUGGAACUGCAGCCUGUUUAAAGCCUUGAGAUUUCCACUUGAGUCAAUGCCCCAAUGAAAAAUGAGUUUAAGGGUUGUAUCACCCUCCAUAGUUGAUGCAUCUAUGGUCAGGGAGGAACAAGGAAAAUGUGUAUGUUGCCUAGCUGUUGCUUUCUGCAGGUUCUGCUGGACACCCUCAUGCUGAGGAUGAAUGGGAAUUCAAAGCCUCGUGGAUUCCAGAAGUAUUCUUCAGUAUGUGAAUACUGACUUCGCUUUAACUUCCUUCACUGUGAGGUGAAAACAAAGGUGGAAAAAAAUUCCAUGGGCAGCAGGGUCCGGAUGUCUGAUGUCAUAGCUCCACAAAUGCCCUGCUGCUGAAGACUAGCCAAGGUGCCACAGCCCAGAUCUGGGAACAAGAAGGAAGACAUCCAGGAACAUGCAAGUCACGUAGAUACUCUUAGAGUCCUGCUAAUAGUCAAAAUGGUUUGGGGAGUUUGAACCUGUGCCCAAAAUGGAUUUCUUAAGGUUCCAAAAGAAGCUGAUCUAUGACCCUAUAUGCCCCUGAAAGUAUAAAAACUCAGGAUAACUGGGAGAAUUUUUGGUGAGUCAUUCAAAAUGUAUUUCCUCACAAAUUCAGGAAGAAUUCGGUCCAGUGCACAUCUCUGGGCUAGGUAAGUUGACUGAAUGAAUGCAACAACGCAUCAUGGAUGUUGCAUCUGGGGAGGGUCUCCACUCACUAGGAAGGCAGUUUCAGUUAUACCAAGCCCUCAAUGGGAUUAAUUGUACCACCUUCUCAAUGGGAUUUUUCCAUGGACAUCAUUACAGUUUCUGAUGCUCUGCUUCCUCAGUGCUGCCAUGACCAAGAACAUGCUGCCAGGGGUUGUUUCUGGGGCCAGGGCCCUGCCACUGCGAACUGCUCCACCCUGAUGACUCAGAGCUCAUCCAAACCCUCAGCAAAUUCAGCUCAAAGCUGUGUCACUUACUAGGCGAGGGAGGAUACAGCUGUGCAUGACUGGGAAUGUUUGCUAAAGUUAGUCUACACCCUCAUAUCAAAUGAGCCAUAGAUUGAUCUUAAUAAAUGGCAAAACUUGUGAUUAAUUCUAGAAAGUAGCACUUGUGAACAGAACUAGCACUGGGAGUGAGACCCCACUAACAAGUCACCCCUGGUCUAAAUUAAUUACUGAGUUAACUCUCGAAGUUCAGGCAUAGAGGCACCUCCAAAGACUUGUUUGGGUGUCUGCCACAGGGAAUGAAGUAGCCUGAAAAUAACCAGACAAAAUGGUCAAAGCUCCCCACGUCAUGCUGCAGCAGGACCAACUUGGCAGAGAAACGUA